rnacentral:rRNA from 1 species
GACGAACGCUGGCGGCGUGCUUAACACAUGCAAGUCGAACGGAAAGGCCCUGCUUUUGUGGGGUGCUCGAGUGGCGAACGGGGGAGUAACACGUGAGGAAACUGCCCUUGACUUUGGGAGAACUUCAGGAAAAUGGGGCUAAUACCGGAUAGGAGCUCCUGCAGCAUGGGGGGGGAAGGAAAGUGUCGGCGGUUGGGGAUGGACUCGCGGCUUAUCAGCUUGUUGGUGGGGUAGUGGCUUACCAAGGCUUUGAAGGGUAGCCGGCCUGAGAGGGUGACCGGCCACAUUGGGACUGCGGUACGGCCCAGACUCCUACGGGCGGCAGCAGUGGGGAAUAUUGCACAAUGGGCGGACGCCUGAUGCAGCAACGCCGCGUGCGGGAUGACGUCCUUCGGGUUGUAAACCGCUUUCGCCUGUGCCGAAGCGUGCGUGACGGUAAUGGGUCAAGAAGCACCGGCUAACUACGUG